UGGAAGAACAGAUUCUACUCUGAGGGUGGGGACAGCUGGCCCAGAGCUGCAGGCCGAGCUGGGCCCAAAGAGAUAAGCGAUGACUGACAGGGAAGGUCCCCCGGACAGCCCCGUGGUCCCACACUGGCCUUCUGACCUUCUGGACAGCUCCCAUUCCAGUCCCCCCUUCCCCUCCGCCCCCCUUUCCUCUCCAGCACAUGUCUUGUGUCCUCUGGAAAGGGGUUCCCUGAUGUAGACUCAGCUGAAACUCUUCAUGUUGAUACUUUCCACGAACAAGUACACACAGAACUGCUCACACCUGACAGCCACUCAAGAGACACUGUGGCCUGGCACACACCACGGGAUCUGCACUCCCACACGUGUAGACUUGCAGAGAAAUGCUGCCGUUACCCGAGCCCCAGGGCUCACUGGAUGUGCAGACCCCCGUGGUGCUGCUGUUAGACUUCACGUGCCCCCACACACAGCCCGCGUUCAGCGUUCCAGAAGCAUCUGUCCGUCCAGAUGCCUUGCGGUUUCGAGUCUGGAUACCAUCCUUCCGCAUGGUCAGUGGUCGGUUCACCUGCCAAAAGGGAGGCCCA